rnacentral:rRNA from 1 species
AGUGAACGCUGGCGGUAGGCCUAACACAUGCAAGUCGAACGGCAGCACAGUAAGAGCUUGCUCUUACGGGUGGCGAGUGGCGGACGGGUGAGGAAUACAUCGGAAUCUACUUUUUCGUGGGGGAUAACGUAGGGAAACUUACGCUAAUACCGCAUACGACCUACGGGUGAAAGCAGGGGAUCUUCGGACCUUGCGCGAUUGAAUGAGCCGAUGUCGGAUUAGCUAGUUGGCGGGGUAAAGGCCCACCAAGGCGACGAUGCGUAGCUGGUCUGAGAGGCUGAUCGGCCACGCUGGAACUGGAACACGGUCAAUGCGACUACGGGAGGCAGCAGUGGGGAAUAUUGGACAAUAGGCGCAAGCCUGAUCCAGCCAUACCGCGUGGGUGAAGAAGGCCUUCGGGUUGUAAAGCCCUUUUGUUGGGAAAGAAAAGCAGCAGGUUAAUACGCCGCUGUUCUGACGGUACCCAAAGAAGAAGCACCGGCUAACUUCGUG